rnacentral:rRNA from 1 species
AUUGAACGCUGGCGGAAUGCCUUACACAUGCAAGUCGAACGGCAGCACGGACUUCGGUCUGGUGGCGAGUGGCGAACGGGUGAGUAAUGUAUCGGAACGUGCCCAGUCGUGGGGGAUAACGUAGUGAAAAUUACGCUAAUACCGCAUACGAUCUAUGGAUGAAAGCGGGGGAUCGCAAGACCUCGCGCGAUUGGAGCGGCCGAUAUCAGAUUAGGUAGUUGGUGGGGUAAAGGCCCACCAAGCCAACGAUCUGUAGCUGGUCUGAGAGGACGACCCGCCACCCUGGAACCGGGACACGGGCAAGACUCCUACGGGAGGCAGCAGUGGGGAAUUGUGGACAAGGGGCGAAAGCCUGAUCCAGCCAUUCCGCGUGCAGGAUGGAGGCCCUCGGGUUGUAAACUGCUUUUGUACAGAACGAAAAGGUUUCUACUAAUACUAGGAGCUCAUGACGGUACUGUAAGAAUAAGCACCGGCUAACUACGUGCCAGCCGCCGCGGUAA